GGGUUGUGAGGUUAAGCGACUAAGCGUACACGGUGGAUGCCCUGGCAGUCAGAGGCGAUGAAGGACGUGCUAAUCUGCGAUAAGCGCCGGUAAGGUGAUAUGAACCGUUAUAACCGGCGAUUUCCGAAUGGGGAAACCCAGUGUGACUCGUCACACUAUCAUUAACUGAAUCCAUAGGUUAAUGAGGCGAACCGGGGGAACUGAAACAUCUAAGUACCCCGAGGAAAAGAAAUCAACCGAGA
rnacentral:rRNA from 1 species